CAGGCGGCCAUGUCAUGGUUCCACUAGAACUUGGCGGCCAUGUUGUGAGGAAGCCACAUGUAGAUGUUCAGGCAGAAAAGCCCAGACCAGGGAUGCCAAUCAACUUGUUUUUCAGGCUACAUUUCCCACUGAGGCUGCAUUAGAAUGAGUGGUCCACAUCCCUUUAUUUGAACUUUUCUUUCUGUCUCUGUGGUUCAGAAAGGUGCACAAUGCGAUGUUCUCAUAGAUGUGCACAUUGUCAGAUGAUCUCCGCCCUCAAGCUAACAACUUCAUGUCUUCCCAUAAUUGACUUAUUAUGUGUAUGGAAUGAGAAAACCUUGAAACGGACUCUGCUAGUGGACUUAACACACCCAGUGCACAAUGAACCAUGGUCGCCAUGGUGUGCCCUGGAUCUCCAGAUCUUACUCAUCAGGUGACUGAAAGUGUGUGCCUUGAUUAAUAUCUCCUCCAUCCCCCCACCCCUCAACCUCUGGUUCCCAGCAUUCUACUCUGUUACUCUGAGUUCCACAUUGUUUUAGGUUUCACAUA